GGGAGGCAGCAGUGGGGAAUUUUCCGCAAUGGGCGAAAGCCUGACGGAGCAAUACCGCGUGAGGGAUGACUGCCUAUGGGUUGUAAACCUCUUUUUUCAGGGAGGAAUAAAUGACGUGUACCUGAAGAAUAAGCAUCGGCUAACUCCGUGCCAGCAGCCGCGGUAAGACGGAGGAUGCAAGUGUUAUCCGGAAUCACUGGGCGUAAAGCGUCUGUAGGUGGUUUAAUAAGUCAGCUGUUAAAUCUUGAGGCUCAACCUCAAAAUCGCAGUCGAAACUAUUAGACUAGAGUAUAGUAGGGGUAAAGGGAAUUUCCAGUGGAGCGGUGAAAUGCGUAGAGAUUGGAAAGAACACCAAUGGCGAAGGCACUUUACUGGGCUAUUACUAACACUCAGAGACGAAAGCUAGGGUAGCAAAUGGGAUUAGAUACCCCAGUAGUCCUAGCCGUAAACAAUGGAUACUAGAUGUUGAACAGAUCGACCUGUGCAGUAUCAAAGCUAACGCGUUAAGUAUCCCGCCUGGGAAGUAUGCUCGCAAGAGUGAAACUCAAA
rnacentral:rRNA from 1 species